rnacentral:rRNA from 1 species
UACGUAGGUGGCAAGCGUUGUCCGGAUUUAUUGGGUUUAAAGGGUGCGUAGGCGGCUUUGUAAGUCAGCGGUGAAAUACUCUAGCUUAACUAGAGGGGUGCCAUUGAUACUGCGGAGCUUGAGUACAGAUGAGGUAGGCGGAAUUGACGGUGUAGCGGUGAAAUGCAUAGAUAUCGUCAAGAACACCGAUAGCGAAGGCAGCUUACUGGGCUGUAACUGACGCUGAUGCACGAAAGUGUGGGGAUCAAACAGG